rnacentral:rRNA from 1 species
GACGAACGCUGGCGGCGUGCCUAAUACAUGCAAGUUGAGCGAUGAAGCUUGGUGCUUGCACCAAUUUGAAGAGCAGCGAACGGGUGAGUAACGCGUGGGGAAUCUGCCUUUGAGCGGGGGACAACAUUUGGAAACGAAUGCUAAUACCGCAUAACAACUUUAAACAUAAGUUUUAAGUUUGAAAGAUGCAAUUGCAUCACUCAAAGAUGAUCCCGCGUUGUAUUAGCUAGUUGGUGAGGUAAAGGCUCACCAAGGCGAUGAUACAUAGCCGACCUGAGAGGGUGAUCGGCCACAGUGGGACUGAGACACGGCCCAAACUCCUACGGGAGGCAGCAGUAGGGAAUCUUCGGCAAUGGACGAAAGUCUGACCGAGCAAUGCCGCGUGAGUGAAGAAGGGUUUCGGAUCGUAAAACUCUGUUGGUAGAGAAGAACGUUGGUGAGAGUGGAAAGCUCAUCAAGUGACGGUAACUACCCAGAAAGGGACGGCUAACUACGUG